rnacentral:tRNA from 1 species
GCUGCUGUGGCCGAGUGGUCUAAGGCGAUGGUUUUAAGCACCAUUAUCGAAAGAUGCGAGGGUUCGAACCCCUCCGGCAGCA